rnacentral:rRNA from 1 species
UACGAACUGUGCAAACGUUAUUCGGAAUCACUGGGCUUACAGGGUGCGUAGGCGGCCAGACAAGUAGGGUGUGAAAGCCCCCGGCUUAACCGGGGAAUGGCGCCCUAAACUGUAUGGCUGGAGUGAGAUAGGGGUGUGCGGAACUUCCGGUGGAGCGGUGAAAUGUGUUGAUAUCGGAAGGAACGCCGGUGGCGAAAGCGGCACACUGGAGCUCAACUGACGCUGAGGCACGAAAGCCAGGGGAGCGAACGGG